CCGCCGAUUCGUCCUUUGUGGGUUCCACGGCCGCCACGCAGGCUCGGCACAGCUCCGCGUCGUCAGCGCCCGCUCCACUUCAUCCUUCGCGCGCCUCUCUUCGCCGCCCCUAGGUCCCGCCGAUCUGAUACGACGAAAGAGGGAGGAAGGCGUGACGUGGUUGCUGCUGCUUUAGCACUCCACGGAAAGAGCACUAGAGAAGAAGAAACAUAGAAGAGAAGAUGAAUAGAAGAGAAAUACCCGAGAUCAUCACAAUUUGUCAAGUUGAAACCAAACUGAUGAGCUACAUCAGUAAAAUCUACAUCUUCUGUAUACUGUCUAAUUUCAUAUCAUAUCACUACAUAACAUUUAGAAUCAUGAGAAGUAGUUUCUAUUUUGAUUGCUAGAAACUUAGAAUUGCUUUUUCGUUUAUUUACAUGAAGGAGAAAUCUGUAUGUAUAGGUUGGUUCAGUAGCUGCCCAAGAGUAUGAAAAAUGUGCUCCAACUGUGCUUUCGUUGAAAAACAUCUGCUAAACCUGAAAUAAUUGUGAUUUUAGGCUAACACUAUGGUUCCUGAAUUGGUUAUUGUAUUGAUGACAUCUGAAUUAGUAUUACUUGCACGAGAUUAUAAGAUAGUACUUCUGGAAAUUAUGAUUCUUUUUCACAUGGUAUAAGUAGUACUUCUGGAACCAACUUGUGUUAUGUGCCUCAUAGUUUUCAUUAGAAGUAUCUGUAAAUAGAUAUGUUUCUCCUAUAUAUGCUCUUAUGUAAAGAUAUAUGUUUCUAGCUAACUCAGCGCUUUACUUAUAUUUCAGUAUCAGGUUUAAUAAUAUUAAUUAUUUUUUUCUCCUAUAUAGAACAAGAAGAUUUACAAGUAGUGCAUGUUCACACAUUUUGCAGAAGCCAGAUCCACAGCACGUCUCCUCUAGGUAAGGUAACAUAUCCCCUUGGGCAUGACGGUUUUAUUCCCUGCUUGAUCCGACCUAUGCAAAAGACCACAUGGUUUUAUUCCCUGCUUCAUCUGUUAAGUGAUUGGCACUGCAUGUCCACCAUUGGCAAUGGCAUAAGGGGAAGGCAGGAGCAGAAGUGUAGGUUGGUUGUGCUACGUGCAACAACAAGGUUUCCUUUUUGAAUCAGUUGAUGGUUGAUGAUACUGCUAGAUAUGGUGGUUGAUGAUCAUGCUAUCAAGAUGAAGCUUUGAAUUUGAGAUCAGAUUUAGAGUUUGGGGAAAAUGAGACGAUUGGCAAUAACGAGGUCAUCAAGAUCAAGCCGCCCACUGUCGAGGUUGUGGCCGCUGCCGCAUUGUUCUAGGUUCGGUCUCUUCCUCCUGGAAUCCCCCGAUGGAACGCCCAGAUCCGGCAUCUUGCUGCCACAAUUAUGUCCGCAGGGAAAGAUCAUGGAGGAAGAUUACUUAGAAGCGCCAGCGCCACAACUUCCUAUGGACAUCAUGUACAAGAUCCUAUUGCACGUAUCUGAUCCAGCCCCCCUUGCCUGCCUUGCUUCAUCUUGCAAGUUCUGGCAUGAUCUUAUGAAGGACCCGGUCUUGAUAAAUGAUCCCACCAAAUCAAUUCCAGUAUGACUUAGCCAAAGUGGACCAUCAAUUCUUUCUCUACCAGAUGCUUCAUGCUCUGAGUUAUAUUUAUAAUGGCCUACUACAGAUCAGCACAAUGCCACUGUGUUUCG